CUUGCCCCAGCAGGUGCAGCUGUUGUGCUGUGUUUGUGUCAUCAGGUGGCAAAGAGAAGCUGGCUGUGUCUAAGCUCAGUCUUCUGUGGCCUGUGAGCACCCAGAAUGAAUUGUUGCCCAACAAG